CAAGGAAAACUGAAAUUCGGGCUAAAAUGGGGAAAAUACCAAGUUGUGGACGAAAUGGUAAAAAUAGCCAUUUUCGCAUACGAGUGUUGACAAGCCAGCUCGGAAAUAGGAAACGGUCGGAGGCACGCUCACACUAUCCGUAUACCAUCUUGGCAUAAUGGCUUGUAUAUUUUGAGUAUGGCAUGUAUAGCAUUAUAAUCAUUUUGUAUAUAUGGUCUUAUGAUAUGGUUAUUGAGUGGUAUGGAAAUAGAAAUUCUUGGUAAUGAUUAGCCAUUGGAAUGGCUAAUCAUGAUCAUAUUUGGUAUUAUGUAUGUCAAAUUGCUAGCUAAUCCAUGGAAACCAUGAAAUAGGUAAAAUUUACCAUAAAA